rnacentral:rRNA from 1 species
UCGGAUAUCAGAUAAAGUAAGAUGACCCGCC